UACGGAGGAUGCAAGCGUUAUCCGGAAUGAUUGGGCGUAAAGCGUCCGCAGGUGGCUAUGUAAGUCUGCUGUUAAAGAGUGAGGCUCAACCUCAUAAGAGCAGUGGAAACUACAUAGCUAGAGUGCGUUCGGGGCAGAGGGAAUUCCUGGUGUAGCGGUGAAAUGCGUAGAUAUCAGGAAGAACACCGGUGGCGAAAGCGCUCUGCUAGGCCGCAACUGACACUGAGGGACGAAAGCUAGGGAAGCGAAUGGG
rnacentral:rRNA from 1 species